GGGGUUGUAGCUCAGUGGUAAAGUGCUUGCCUUGCAUGCGUGAGGCCCUGGGUUCGGUCCCCAGCAUCACAU
rnacentral:tRNA from 1 species